rnacentral:rRNA from 1 species
UACGGAGGAUGCGAGCGUUAUCCGGAUUUAUUGGGUUUAAAGGGUGCGUAGGCGGGCUUUUAAGUCAGCGGUAAAAAUUCGGGGCUCAACCCCGUCCGGCCGUUGAAACUGGGGGCCUUGAGUGGGCGAGAAGAAGGCGGAAUGCGUGGUGUAGCGGUUAAAUGCAUAGAUAUCACGCAGAACCCCGAUUGCGAAGGCAGCCUUCCGGCGCCCUACUGACGCUGAGGCACGAAAGUGCGGGGAUCGAACAGG